rnacentral:snoRNA from 1 species
AGCCCAUGGUGAGGGCGCCUUCUCAACAGAUCCUUGUAUCUUUCCCAUGCAUCGUAGAGUGUUUCUAAUCCAUAUGCACAAAAGAAGAGAUAUCAUUAUGUAAUU